UACGUGAGGGGCGAACGUUGUUCGGUGUCACUGGGCUUAAAGGGCGCGUAGGUGGUUGUGUAAGUAACGUGUGAAAUCCCUCGGCUUACCCGGGAAAUUGCAUGUUAUACUGCAUGACUUGAGGACCAGAGGGGAAUGGGGAACUCCAGGUGUAGCGGUGAAAUGCGCAGAUAUCUGGGGGAAGGCCGGCGGCGAAGGCGCCAUUCUGGCUGAUUCCUGACACUGAGGCGCGAAAGCGUGGGGAGCAAACAGG
rnacentral:rRNA from 1 species